ACGGAAGGCAGCAGUGGGGGAUAUUGCACAAUGGGCGAAAGCCUGAUGCAGCGACGCCGCGUGAGGGAAGACGGUUUUCGGAUUGUAAACCUCUGUCUUCGGGGACGAAAAAGGACGGUACCCGAGGAGGAAGCCACGGCUAACUACGUGCCAGCAGCCGCGGUAAUACGUAGGUGGCAAGCGUUGUCCGGAAUUACUGGGUGUAAAGGGAGUGUAGGCGGGACUGUAAGUCAGAUGUGAAAUAUGCCGGCUCAACUGGCAGACUGCAUUUGAAACUGCGGUUCUUGAGUGAAGUAGAGGUAAGCGGAAUUCCUAGUGUAGCGGUGAAAUGCGUAGAUAUUAGGAGGAACAUCAGUGGCGAAGGCGGCUUACUGGGCUUUAACUGACGCUGAGGCUCGAAAGCGUGGGGAGCAAACAGGAUUAGAUACCCUGGUA
rnacentral:rRNA from 1 species